UGAGAGGUAGCGCGCGCGCAGUGUUGCUUUGGAAUUCAUUUGCUAUUGAUGCUUAAAUCAAAUAGGGUGGCAACUCGUGCAUUAAAAAUGGAAACCCAUACGUAUACAAUUCUGCUGCUGUUGGCUUUCAUUGGCAUUGUAAGAGGCCCAUUUUUUUAAACGGCUGCGAAAUGAGAGAAAGACAAAGAGAGCGCCCACACCCACACAUCUACAUAUAUAAGUGAGCGAGAAUUGACGAUAAUGAAAUCGACAAAACUAAAAUUCAGAAACCAAAUGGACUAGCAGGCUUUAACACUGCCACGGUUACACUUUGCAACUACUUUAUACAUAUGUACAUACAAAUGUAUGUAAAUACAUACAUAUGUAUGUAUGUGUAUUUCAUCUACCUCUCUUAUUGUCUCCCCUCAACAAAUUCAAACAUACAUACACAUGUAUAAAUGUAUAUGUGUGUACUGCACACAGUUUACCAAAACAAUAGUAGAAUGAAACUCGAACGUCAAAGGAGAAGUCUGGGUCUAAUAGAACACGUCCAUAUUGGAUGUCUUCCUUGUGCUUCUUAUCUAUUCAAACAUCCUGUGAAAUGAUGUUGAUGCAUGCAUAGGCCAAUGAUGUGCUCAAUUUUACAAGCUAGACAACCAGCGGCACAUUAGCAUUAGCAUUAGCAGAGAUUAUCGAUUGCUCACAAAUUGCUCAUUCACAACGGUCUUUUUUUUCAAACAUGUGAGACGAAAAAAUAUAAGAACGGAUGACAGCUAUUAGUCGCCGCGAGAAACACAAAAAUAAAGUGGGGAAAAAAACAACAGUGUAAACAUUUAACUUUUUUUUAGCCUUUAGUUUUUACACAUCUCCAGAACAAAAAUACAUAUACAUACAUAUACAUACAUAUGUACAUAUGUACAUAGGCGACUUCAGCAAAAAGGGAGAAAAUGUUCCGAGUCUAAACAAAUAAACAAGAAAAACAUA